rnacentral:rRNA from 1 species
UGCGCAGGUGGCCGAGUGUGUUAGGCGUGAAAGCCCGGGGCUUAACCCCGGAAUUGCACCUAAAACUACUUGGCUAGAGCAUUGGAGAGGGGAGCAGAAUUCACGGUGUAGCAGUGAAAUGCGUAGAUAUCAUGAGGAAUACCAGAGGCGAAGGCGGCUCCCUGGACAAUAGCUGACACUCAGGCACGAAAGCUGGGAGCAAAG